GAGACUCUGUGCGCGUGCAUAUCAAUAAGCGGAGGAAAAGAAACUAACAAGGAUUCCCCUAGUAACGGCGAGUGAAGCGGGAAGAGCUCAAAUUUGAAAUCUUGAAGGGUUUCCCUUUACGAAUUGUAGUUUAAAGAAGUGUUUUCUGUUGGAGUUUCGGUAAAAGUUCUUUGGAAUAGGACAUCAUAGAGGGUGAGAAUCCCGUAUUUGGUCAUUCUUUCUAGCUUUGUGAUACACUUUCAACGAGUCGGAUUGUUUGGGAAUGCAGUCCAAAAUGGGUGGUAAAUUUCAUCUAAAGCUAAAUAUUGGCGAGAGACCGAUAGCGAACAAGUACCGUGAGGGAAAGAUGAAAAGAACUUUGAAAAGAGAGUUAAACAGUACGUGAAAUUGUCAAAAGGGAAGCGUUUGACACCAGUGUUGUUUUUCCGAAAAUCAAUUACGAAUGUUUUAUUUUUGAGAAGUUAUGACUUCAUCGGCUUGCUUCUCUCUUUAUGAAACUUUCUUAAUGCACUUUUCGGUUAACAAGUCAACAUCAAUUUCUUUUGUUGUAAAAGGGUAUGAGGAAGGUGGCUUUCUUUUCGGAGAAAGUGUUUAUAGCCUUGUACCUCUGCAAUCGGAGAGAUUGAGGUCUGCAGCGUAGAUCCUUCGGGGUUAGAUACAUUUGUGCUAGGUUAUAGCUUUUCAUAGACAACUUGUUGACUAUGUUUAGUCUUGUAGCUUACUCGCUUAUGCUAUUUUACCUACGCUUAGGAUGUUGAAGAUGUAGCACAUCAU
rnacentral:rRNA from 1 species